UACGGGGGGGGCAAGCGUUGUUCGGAAUUACUGGGCGUAAAGGGCUCGUAGGCGGCCAACUAAGUCAGACGUGAAAUCCCUAGGCUCAACCUAGGAACUGCGUCUGAUACUGGAUGGCUUGAAUCCGGGAGAGGGAUGCAGAAUUCCAGGUGUAGCGGUGAAAUUCGUAGAUAUCGGGAGGAACACCAGUGGCGAAGGCGGCAACCUGGGCCAAUACUGACGCUGAGGUGCGAAAGCGUGGGGAGCAAACAGG
rnacentral:rRNA from 1 species